UCCCCAAUAGGACCUGGUCACGGAUCAUCGAUUGAACCAUGGGAUCAACCCGAGUCGAUUCUUGAUGUUAAAUGAUGUAAUAAAUAUAUUAACUAUUAAUUAUUUAUAUAAAAUUAAAUUAAAAUUAUAAAUAUGUAGAAAAAAAUAAAAAAUAAAAAAUCAUCUGUAUUUUUCUCAUAACUUUUGGUACCAUAAUAAAAGCACGC
rnacentral:lncRNA from 1 species